UUAUGUGGAAUACUGGAACCUAAUUUAAUCUCGUGCCCGAUUUAGAUGACUUCGAUCAAUUCCGGUUCUGCUGGCCCUUACCACUAAUUUAACGUAUAUAUUACUAAUACAUACAACAGUAACUAUCGAAAAAAUUUUUUCUACCUUCGCUCGUAUGUAUGUGUCGACAAUAGGUAACAACAAUUAUAAUGGCAAUGAGCGGGUGGCCGUUACGUAAUCAAGAAAGCAGAGAAAAGAAAUUGUCUAUGUAGGAUGGUGGUAUCAACGACUGCGCCGGUUAACUGGGGACGUCGGGACGCAGAAGAAGUCCAAGCUUCAUGCCCCACGGGGUGGUCAUCUCCAGCGGGACUUAUCGUUGUUGUCAUGGUUCCGCGUUUCGUUCGACGAUCUGCAGAGCUGCCUGACCGGCCAGCGCGUGCCUCCAGCCUGUUACGUGAGCUUUACGCGUAUGAUGAUCCCCGAGGAACUUGCGACACGCCACAGCUCUCUGGAUCGUUCGUCGUCCGAGAAUGAUCGUAAGCGGCAUUUGCGGUGUUACUGGCAUUACGGACCAUGCUUUUGUUUGUGGAUGAGGCUGCUGGUGAUGUCGAUGGCAGUGGGGAAGCAUCCUGUGGGUGGCAGCUGAUAAUGAGGGCAUAAUGCCCUUGCUCUAUUGUUGCCAAGAAUUCAUGUCUGUCGUUUGCGUUAACGUUGGCCUGGUUUAGCGAUUAGAGAAGAUACCCUAAGCACGAUAGUUAUAGCACGUCGUGUGUUGCCUGACGCUGCUCCUUUUCUACCAUUUUUAUGUGCUAACUGACCAGUAUAUCCUGGUCUACCCCAUCGGUUGCGGUGGAACCCUAAUCAGCUGCGACUGACCACGAGAACAAGUGUAAACAGUGGCUAUCUAUCCUUAUGAAGGUGCAAAACCUCGAUAACGGCUUGUUUCCCGUUAGCUUCUCUGGCAUGAUCCCGCCAGGGUUCCUAUUGGCGUUCCUACGAGCGACUCCAGUAAAGAUGAUGAUGAAGACGAUUCACCCCAGGGGUGCCUAUUACUGAUGCUGUUUUUACCCUAACUGAGAAGAUUGGCCGAGGCCGUUACAGCGAUAAUGGUGGGAUGAUACCAGUGGCUCCUGUGUGGAGGGCGGGGGGGAGUCAAGGUUCAACAUAUUUUUUCUUUUAGGUCUCUUCCCUACAGCGCUACUAAUCCGGCGAUGUGAAGCGAUGAGACGGUUUUUGCCAGCCGACACGACCGUCAAAUUCUCAUAGGAGCAGAAUCAGACGCAGAAGUGCGAACAAUAAUAAAACUACCAGGUGACAAUGGCAAAAAUAAUCACGCGGUGUGGUGCAUCUGGAAUCAGCCGUCUUGGUGAUACCCAGCUACCCUUAAAAACCUGCAAAAGCUGUUUCUACAACACAGCGGUCUGUAAAACGGCGAUUCGACCCGAGACAAGGCAAAAUACAAAGUUAUAUUAUUACGGCUUAAGCAGCAGAGCUCACCUCUGCAGGACCUCAAACUAGACUUUUCUGUCAGCGCAUCACUGGGCGUCCUUCUUUAGGAUAUCAGCCAGCUACAGCUUCAGUUUUACUUUGAUUUUAGAGCGUCGAAUCAAAUUUACUGCGAAAAGUAGGCGACUACUAUAUGUUUUCGUUUAUAUAUCUGCAAUACAUUUUUCAGUCUAACGCUGCCUUGCUGGAAUUCG